UACGAAGGGUGCAAACGUUGCUCGGAAUUACUGGGCGUAAAGCGCACGUAGGCGGCUUAGUAAGUCGGAAGUGAAAGCCCUCGGCUCAACCAAGGAAGUGCUUUCGAAACUGCUGAGCUUGAGUACUUAAGAGGAUCGCGGAAUUCCCGGUGUAGAGGUGAAAUUCGUAGAUAUCGGGAGGAACACCAGUGGCGAAGGCGGCUACCUGGACAAUUACUGACGCUCAGGCACGAAAGCGUGGGGAGCAAAAGGGAUUAGAAACCCUAGUAGU
rnacentral:rRNA from 1 species